rnacentral:lncRNA from 1 species
GCACUGGUCGCCCGCGGGAGGUUCGGGUGGGGAGGAGGCGUCCCCUCCCGGUUUGCUCGCGGGCGGCUGAGGGGACGCUUGGGAGGGGGUGAGCUGGGGGAUCCCCUUGCUGCAGAGACUGCGAACCCGAGCUUCAAAAUAGUCAUUUCUCACCCGUGCGCUCCACGGGGCUGUCCUCUGGGCGGUGGCUGGGUGUGAGGAAGCGGGAGUGACCCGGAGGCCGGGCCCCUGCUCCGGCCACUUGUUGCUUUCCCGCAGCCUUGGGACCGAAACUUUCAUCUACAUAAGGGGAUUAAAAAUAAUGAAGCCCCUGGCAAGUUGGCCGCUGCGCCUUCCUGGAGAUGGUGAUGAAGGCGAGGACCUUAGGACCGCACAGAGCCCAGGUCUGGCACGAAGAGGCCACGGCAGAGGAAAGCCAGGAACUGGGUCAGAACAGAACAGCUUCGUGGGUUUAAAUCAUUUGAAAUGGAAAAGUCAUAUCCAAGUGGAGAAAUAAUGACUUUUACGCUAAUCCCACCCUGUUGCCACAUGAACCCACACAUUAACGCAGAGGAGACCGUGACACAAAAGGUCCGCGGUGCCUGGCAGGGGAGUCAUCUCGCAUUCAUCUCACAUGUAGCCACAGCACAGAGGACUGGGGCUACAUGGAGAAUGGCUCAUCUCUCAGGCAACCUUUAAUAAGAGGACCCUGCAGAAGUGACUCCCAAAAGCAAGCGACCGCAUCUCACUGUCCGUACCACACAAUAUCCCACUUUCAUUCUACAAAGCUGAACGGCCAACACUUUUCCCUGU